rnacentral:tRNA from 1 species
GGCCUCGUAGCUCAGUUGGCUAGAGCGUUGGCUGUACUAAAGCCGUACCCUUACUGGCGUGGGUUCGAAUCCCACCGCGGCCA